rnacentral:rRNA from 1 species
CGGAGCGCCCAACACUGUGAACACACCUAGCCUAGUCUGAUUUUGGAAGCUAAGCAUGAUCAGGUGUGGUGAACGCUUGGAUGGGAGACCACAACAGAACACAGGGGACUCGGC